rnacentral:rRNA from 1 species
GGGGGAUAACACUUGGAAACAGGUGCUAAUACCGCAUAACCAUAGUUACCGCAUGGUAGCUAUGUAAAAGGUGGCUAUGCUACCGCUUUUGGAUGGGCCCGCGGCGCAUUAGCUAGUUGGUGGGGUAAAGGCUUACCAAGGCAAUGAUGCGUAGCCGAACUGAGAGGUUGAUCGGCCACAUUGGGACUGAGACACGGCCCAAACUCCUACGGGAGGCAGCAGUAGGGAAUCUUCCACAAUGGGCGAAAGCCUGAUGGAGCAACGCCGCGUGGGUGAAGAAGGUCUUCGGAUCGUAAAACCCUGUUGUUAGAGAAGAAAGUGCGUGAGAGUAACUGUUCACGUUUCGACGGUAUCUAACCAGAAAGCCACGGCUAACUACGUGCCAGCAGCCGCGGUAAUACGUAGGUGGCAAGCGUUAUCCGGAUUUAUUGGGCGUAAAGGGAACGCAGGCGGUCUUUUAAGUCUGAUGUGAAAGCCUUCGGCUUAACCGGAGUAGUGCAUUGGAAACUGGGAGACUUGAGUGCAGAAGAGGAGAGUGGAACUCCAUGUGUAGCGGUGAAAUGCGUAGAUAUAUGGAAGAACACCAGUGGCGAAAGCGGCUCUCUGGUCUGUAACUGACGCUGAGGUUCGAAAGCGUGGGUAGCAAACAGGAUUAGAUACCCUGGUAGUCCACGCCGUAAAC